rnacentral:rRNA from 1 species
AUUGAACGCUGGCGGAAUGCUUUACACAUGCAAGUCGAACGGCAGCACGGGUGCUUGCACCUGGUGGCGAGUGGCGAACGGGUGAGUAAUAUAUCGGAACGUACCCAUUAAUGGGGGAUAACAUAUCGAAAGAUGUGCUAAUACCGCAUACGCCCUGAGGGGGAAAGCGGGGGAUCUUAGGACCUCGCGUCAUUGGAGCGGCCGAUAACGGAUUAGCUAGUUGGUGGGGUAAAGGCCCACCAAGGCGACGAUCCGUAGCUGGUCUGAGAGGACGACCAGCCACACUGGAACUGAGACACGGUCCAGACUCUUACGGGAGGCAGCAGUGGGGAAUUUUGGACAAUGGGGGAAACCCUGAUCCAGCCAUUCCGCGUGAGUGAAGAAGGCCUUCGGGUUGUAAAGCUCUUUCGCAAGGGAAGAAAACUUACAUUCUAAUAAAGUGUGAGGCUGACGGUACCUUGAUAAGAAGCACCGGCUAACUACGUGCCAGCCGCCGCCGUAA